GACGAACGCUGGCGGCGUGCCUAAUACAGGCAAGUAGAACGCAGUUGGGAACGGGUGAGAAACGCAUAGGUAACUGCCUCAUAGCGGGGGAAAACUAGUGGAAAAAAUAGCUAAUACCGCAUACUGUGAGAUGGAUCUGCGUUGUAUUAGUUUGUUGGUGUGGUAAAGGCUCGCGAGGGCGACGUUACAUAGACGACCUGAGAGGGUGAUCGGCCAAACUUGGACUGAGAAACGGCCAAGACUCCUACGGGAGGCAGCAGAAGGGAAUCUUCGGCACUGGACGGAAGUCUGAUCGUGCACCGCCGCGUGAGUGAAGAAGGUUUUCGGAUCGUAAAGCUCUGUUGUUAGAGAAGUGGUAACUAACCAGAAAGGGCCGGCUAACUACGUGCCAGCAGCCGCGGUAAUUC
rnacentral:rRNA from 1 species